rnacentral:lncRNA from 1 species
AAUAUUUAUGUAUAGUUAGACUACAUCAGUCUUACUGUGAGCAAUUGUGACACCGUAAGUCAAUGGAUCAGUCACACAACUACAGCAUCGAAAUGAUCACUAAUGAUUGGAUAGAAAUCUAUUGAUCUCUCAUAUGGUUAUGCUCAGUACUAAUUAUUCUCUAACAACUAUCUGCACUUAUCGUUCAGUGUCUCUACAUCAUAGACUAGAGACUCAUCUACCCUGAAAGAAGUGAACCGUGUGUCGAUCUAUCUAGAUCGAUCACCAUCCCCAUGACUAUCACA